UGAACGCUGGCGGCGUGCGUUUAUACAUGCAAGUCGUGCGAGAAAGCGGCUUCGGCCGUGAGUACAGCGGCGCACGGGUGAGGUAACACGUGGGUAAUCUACCUCGAAGUGGGGGAUAACCUGGGGAAACUCGGGCUAAUACCGCAUGAGCUUUCACGAUCGCGAUCGUGAAAGGAAGGUUGGCCUCUACACGUAAGCUAACGCUUUGAGAUGAGCCCGCGCCCGAUUAGCUUGUUGGUGGGGGUAAUGGCCUACCAAGGCUUCGAUCGGUAGCCGGCCUGAGAGGGUGAUCGGCCACACUGGAACUGAGACACGGUCCAGACUCCUACGGGAGGCAGCAGUAGGGAAUAUUGCGCAAUGGGCGAAAGCCUGACGCAGCAACGCCGCGUGGAGGACGAAGGCCUUCGGGUCGUAAACUCCUGUCAAGUGGGAAGAAAGGGCACGGACGAAUAAUUCGUGUCUGUGACUGUACCACUGGAGGAAGCCCCGGCUAACUCCGUG
rnacentral:rRNA from 1 species